GAAGUGUUAGUUUUAAUUAAAACAUCUGUCUGUCAAUCAGAAAAUUCGGAUACGCAUCCGAACAGUUCU
rnacentral:tRNA from 1 species